UGCUGACUGGUAUGACUGAGACAUUCGCAUUGAAGUUAUUCAGAGAUUCUCAGCACUACGAGCGGUACAACUGCACCGAUCACUCGUACUGGGUACCCUCCCACCCAACCAUGGCCUGCUCCAGCUCGGCGCAAAGCAGAAACGAAAGAGAAACAGCAAGGAUGGUUCCGCUCCGACAGGGACCGCACCCCGCCACGGGCUGCGACGAGCCUGCAUGUGCGAGCUCGCCUGAGCCGCGCUGGAGGAAGAAGCCGCAGGAGAUGCGGGACUAAUCAACACCGAGAGCUCGCAGCUUCGCUGUUUAGGGGCCACCGUGCAGCUCAGCCUGUGCCGGGGGGGGGGAGCGACGGCCCCGGAAGGAGGACCGGCAUCUCUCUGAGUGACGACGGGGGAACGCGAUGAGGUGGGAGCAGAAUGGAAGAAGAGCGGAAGGAAAAACAGGAGGGAGUCAGAGAGAGAGAGAGAGA